AUGGAGCCGGCGGCGAAGCGCAUGGCGCUCGCAAACAUGAUAGUGGAUGGCGACGAUACCCUCAACUGCGGCAUCUGCUACCUCCCUCUCAAGCCACUAGUCUUCCAGGUGCUGUGGCGUCGGUCAUACCAUAUCCUCGCGGUGCCGCGACAAGAUGGUGGCAGCAAGGAGGUGCCGUGUGUGUGUCACAUCCGGUUGACCGGCGGCUAUCGCUGGAACAUCGCACUGGAGAGGCUAACAGAGUCCAUCCGGGUGCCGUGCGCCAACGCCGCCCACGGCUGCACUGCCACGCCGGCCUACUAUGACCACCCCGACCACCUCAAGGCAUGCCCUCACGACGCCGUGCUAUUGCCCGCAGGCAGACUGCGGUUCCGCUAG
rnacentral:rRNA from 1 species